AUAAUCUGUUGAGGUAACUGAUACAAGUAGGAUUGUCAGAUAACAUCCAUAAUCUGCUCCUGCUUCUAUCAGUUCCCUCGGCUGAUAC